AACGAACGCUGGCGGCAGGCUUAACACAUGCAAGUCGAGCGCCCCGCAAGGGGAGCGGCAGACGGGUGAGUAACGCGUGGGAACAUACCCUUUGGUUCGGAAUAACUCAGGGAAACUUGAGCUAAUACCGGAUACGUCCGUAAGGNGAAAGAUUUAUCGCCAAAGGAUUGGCCCGCGUCCGAUUAGCUAGUUGGUGAGGUAACGGCUCACCAAGGCUACGAUCGGUAGCUGGUCUGAGAGGAUGAUCAGCCACAUUGGGACUGAGACACGGCCCAAACUCCUACGGGAGGCAGCAGUGGGGAAUAUUGGACAAUGGGCGCAAGCCUGAUCCAGCCAUGCCGCGUGAGUGAUGAAGGCCUUAGGGUUGUAAAGCUCUUUGUCCGGGAAGAUAAUGACUGUACCGGAAGAAUAAGACCCGGCUAACUUCGUGCCAGCAGCCGCGGAAU
rnacentral:rRNA from 1 species